rnacentral:rRNA from 1 species
GGAUGCGAUCAUACCAGCAUUAAAGCACCCGAUCCCAUCAGAACUACGAAGUUAAGCGU